UACGUAGGGUGCAAGCGUUGUCCGGAAUUAUUGGGCGUAAAGGGCUCGUAGGCGGUCCAUCGCGUCGGGAGUGAAAAGCUGGGGCUCAACCCCAGUCCUGCUUCCGAUACGGGUGGACUAGAGGUAGGCAGGGGAGAACGGAAUUCCUGGUGUAGCGGUGAAAUGCGCAGAUAUCAGGAGGAACACCGGUGGCGAAGGCGGAUCUCUGGGCCAUUACUGACGCUGAGGAGCGAAAGCGUGGGGAGCGAACAGG
rnacentral:rRNA from 1 species